rfam:Brachypodium distachyon strain Bd21 chromosome 3, whole genome shotgun sequence.
AAUCUACUCCCUCCGUUCCAUAAUUCUUGUCUCAAAUUUGUCCAAAAUUGGAUGUAUCUAUUCCUAAAGUGUCUGGAUACAUGUAAUAUUUGGACAAGAAUUAUGGAACGGAGUGAGUAAUGA